UUCAGCACGACUCAAGCCAAGUCAGCUAUUUAUAGAGCAAGAACAAUUUUACCACAGGGUAUGGUGUUUAAUUUGAAGAGACGUCAAAGAGUGAGGGGCAGAUGGCUGAGCAGGCAGUGCUUCUCAAUGACCUUGAUGGGGGCACCCAAGCCCACUGCCUCAUCCUGAGUUUUGCAGAUCCAGAAAUGUCAUCUGAUGAAUGAAAUCUUGAACUGACCAAGCUUUAAGAGGAAAAGGAUAAAUUGAUAAGGCAGGACAUCAUUUUUUCCCUACGUUUGAACUUGAACUGAAACAUUGGCCCUUUCUGCAUCUCCAGUCUCUGGUCUUCAAAAUGGGCUACACCGUGGGCCCUCCUGGGUCUCCAGCUUGCUGACUGCAGAUCUUGGGAUUUAUCAGCCUCCAUAACCAUGUGAGAGCACGGCAAGAAGGUGACCAUCCACAAGCCAGGAGGAAGGCCCUCACCAAGAACCAAAUUCGCUGCCACCAUGAUCUUGGACUUUCCACCCUCUAGAACUAUGAGAAAUCAAUGUCUGUUAUUUAAGUUUACAGUUACAGAAACCUAGGCUAACUAAGAGGAAGACCAAGCAAAAGAUGGUGUCUUCCUGGACUAGGGAAAAACAGACAGGUGUGGGUGUGUGUGUAUGUGUGUGUGUGUGUGUUUUGUUUUGUGUGUUUUUAUGUUUUAGAGCUAUAAUCACCAGAAUUUUGGUGUUUGAGCUUGGGAAAUGAGGAGGAGACAUCAAAUGUAACUUCAAAGUUCCCAACUUAGGGUAGGAACUAAGAGAAGUGUGGUAUUAAGAUUGGGAGCACAAGAGAAGAAGAUUUUGUGGAGGACAUAAUGAGCUCACUUCAGUUUGAGGUACCACAGGGCAUUUGCAUGGAAAUGUUCAGUGAGCUGAUAAAAUUAGGUUUCCAGCCUUCAAAGAAAAAAAAAAAGAUUGUGCUCUUUAUACGUAAAAAUUGGACAAUAGUCAGAAUGUAAGUGAUAACAAGAAUUCACGGGAGUGUGUAAGAUGAGCUAGGAAGAAUAUGAAGAGGGCUAAAAACAGAAGCUAGAAUAAGUAUUUAAGGGACAAUGAGGUGGAGAAAGUCUUUUCAUCAAGUCAUGCUAGUGACUCUUUGAUCAGUAGUGACCUAGUAGAAUUUGUCUAAAAAUAUAGCAUACCUUCAUUCUCUGAGGCCUGCUCAUUGAAAACUGGUCUCUACCUUUUCAAGACCUUUUUUCUCUACGAAACAAGUAUGGUUUCUCAACUUGUCACUGUUUUAAGAGAAAGCCCAGAACAUUCACACAGCCUCUACAGUUAGUCAAUAUCAGGAUCACACUUUCCUCACUGGUUUGGGAUGGAUGACUUCUAAGGUUCUCUGUGUCUCCAAGGGUCUCAGAAUCUCUAGAAGGAUUGCUAAAAUGAAUGCCCUGCCUCGUCUAUCAUGAUAAUUCAUUAUGCUAAUGGCCCCAAUGAGACUCUCCUCCUGAUAAACACAUGUCCUGGAAUUCAUGCGCUUGUAUACUCCCCUCCCAUUAAGUUUGGGCCUCGCCUGCGAUUUGCUUCCAUAAAGGCGCCUGGGUGACUUAGUUGGUUAAGUGUCCAACUCUU